CGCUCCCUUGCUGGAGAGAGAUGGCCCGCGCCAUGCGCCGCCAUCCACCGAAGGAGCAAACCGCAGGGUCAGCCAGGGCGCUGCGGUGAAUCUCUCAGGUAAAGUGGACAGCAGGGCAAAU
rnacentral:ncRNA from 2 species